CUGCCCAGUGAUAUAUUCAACGGCCGCGGUAUCCUAACCGUGCAAAGGUAGCAUAAUCAUUUGCCUAUUAAUUGUAGGCUAGAAUGAACGGAUUAACGAAAUAAAAACUGUCUCAAUUAGUAAUCUAAAAACUAUUUUCUAUAUGAAGAAAUAUAGAUAAAAUCGAAGGACAAGAAGACCCUAUAGAGCUUCAUUUUACUAAUAGAAUAAAAACUAUUAAAAAAUUCGGUUGGGGCGACCAGGGAAUAUAAUUAUCAUCCCAAUAAAUAAAAGAUAUAUUUAUCAAAAAAAUGACCCUUUUAUAGAUCAUAAGAAUAAGCUACCUUAGGGAUAACAGGCUAAUCCUGUUUAAGAGUUCAUAUCGACAACAGGGUUUGGCACCUCGAUGUUGGCUUAGGGUAUCAAUAUAGCGCAAAAGUUAUAUAAAGAUGGUUUGUUCAACCAAUAACUCCCU
rnacentral:rRNA from 1 species